CAUGAGAUGAUGGUGGCCUGGACCAGGGUGGUUACAGUGGAGUGGUGAGAAGUGAUGCUUUCCAGAUGUAUUUUCAAGAGUAUUUCCAGACAUAUUGGAUGUGGGUAUGAGGGAAGGGAAGAGUCAGACGUGACUCAAGACCUUGGCUGCCACCAACAAGUGUGGGCAAGACCUUGUGAGGAGAGGUUUGGGAUGGAAAGUCAGGGUUAGGGCUUUGGGAAGGUUGAGUUUAGAUGUCCACUGGACAAUUCCCAGCAGGCUGCUGGACAGGAGUCUGGACUUUGGGAGGAAGAUCCAGACUGGGGAUGUACAACUGGGAGUUGUCUGUCUAUGGAUGAAAUUUAGAGCCAGGAGACUGAAUGAGGUUAAGGGAGUAAGGACAUAUGAAGAGGAAAAGGGGGCUGAGCUCUGGGGCCCUUCAAAGUCAAAGAAGUCAAAGAGAAGAGAAGGAACAAGCCCAUGGUGCAGAGAAGCCACCGGGAGAUGUGAUUAGGACACAGAUAUGCAUGGAGGGAGGAGCACGUGAGGACACAGAGAGGAGACUGCUGUCUACACCCGAAGAAAGAAAGGCCUCAGAAGGAGCCAACUCUGCUACACCUUGCUCUCAGACUUCCAGCCUCAAGAAUCGCGAGAAAUAAAUGUCUGUUGGCCAAGCCCCCCA